rnacentral:lncRNA from 1 species
CCAGACUCCCCCAACCUAUAACAAAACCAACAAGUUUACCUAUGGCUUUCAGAACAUAGUAGAUGCUUAUGGAAUUGGAACUUACCGAGAGAUAAAUCCAGCUCCGUAUACUAUUAUCACGUUCCCUUUUCUAUUUGCUGUGAUGUUUGGAGACUUCGGUCAUGGCAUUUUAAUGACCCUUUUUGCUGUGUGGAUGGUACUGAGGGAGAGCCGGAUCCUUUCCCAGAAGAAUGAGAAUGAGGUAAUGUUUAAGUUACAUCUGCAUUGAACUGAAAUUUUAUAAUUUCCCAAGCAUUCAUUAUGAAAAUUAUGAUCUGGAAGUCUUUUAUCCAUGAAUUUAUCAAAAGGAAGUAGAGA